GGCUGCAGCCAUACUACCCUGAAUACCCAGAUCUCGUAAGCUAAUCAGGGUCGGACCUGGUUAGUACUUGGAUGAUGGGAAGCUGCCUGGGAAUGCUGGGUGCUGUAGGCU
ensembl:rRNA 5S_rRNA 5S ribosomal RNA